rnacentral:tRNA from 1 species
UGGGGUGUCGUCUAAUGGUAGGACUGCAGUCUCUGGAAUUGCCUAUUGGGGUUCGAAUCCCUGCACCCCAG